GUGCACGUUCGGUCGCAAACACCCCACACCCUGUGCACCCUUGACUUGAGUCGGUCGAAAGGGUUGUAACGACCCCAAACACCGAUCACAAGUAAUUUUUACACUCUGCAUGUAACGGAAUGUCACUGUACAAUGUACAACAGAAACAACUUUCAACAACGGAUCUCUUGGCUCUCGCAUCGAUGAAGAACGCAGCGAAAUGCGAUAAGUAAUGUGAAUUGCAGAAUUCAGUGAAUCAUCGAAUCUUUGAACGCACCUUGCACCCUUUGGUAUCCCAAAGGGUACACCCGUUUGAGUGUCAUUGUAAUCUCACUUUGAUGACUUUAUCGUCGUCGGAUGUGGACUUGGACGUCGUCGUGUCGCCACGGCUCGUCUCAAAUGCCUGAGUGUACCCUGCUUUGCAGCGUCUUUGGUGUAAUAAACAUCUUCACCGUUAAUGUCGAAAGGCAGCGCUCGUGAUAUAGGCUCUAUGCUUCCAACCGUCUCUCCGAGACAAACCUCUGACAAUUUGACCUCAAAUCGGGUGAGACUACCCGCUGAACUUAAGCAUA
rnacentral:rRNA from 1 species